rnacentral:rRNA from 1 species
UACGUAGGUGGCAAGCGUUAUUCGGAUUUACUGGGUGUAAAGGGCGUGUAGGCGGGGACGCAAGUCAGAUGUGAAAACCACGGGCUCAACCUGUGGCCUGCAUUUGAAACUGUGUUUCUUGAGUACUGGAGAGGCAGACGGAAUUCCUAGUGUAGCGGUGAAAUGCGUAGAUAUUAGGAGGAACACCAGUGGCGAAGGCGGUCUGCUGGACAGCAACUGACGCUGAGGCGCGAAAGCGUGGGGAGCAAAUAGG